GAUCCUGGCUCAGGAUGAACGCUAGCUACAGGCUUAACACAUGCAAGUCGAGGGGAAACGACAUCGAAGGCUUGCUUCCGAUGGGCGUCGACCGGCGCACGGGUGAGUAACGCGUAUCCAACCUGCCCACCACUUGGGGAUAACCUUGCGAAAGUAAGACUAAUGCCCAAUGAUAUCCCACGAAGGCAUCCGAAUGGGAUUAAAGAUUUAUCGGUGAUGGAUGGGGAUGCGUCUGAUUAG
rnacentral:rRNA from 1 species